GGCUAUCAAAAGAUAGAUGAUGUGGAAGGGAAAACGACAAGAUAGGCUGCCGAACUGGAACGCAAAAUCAUCAUUGCUUUUAUUUCCUGAAAAUUGGAUUUAAUCUUUUUUGUUUGCUUGAAGCAAAUCCAAGGUGUAAACCCGCUGAUUGAUUAAAAACAAUCUAAAUAAAUCUCUUAACUGUAAUCCAUAAAGCGGCGGUCAGAUAACGCGUGAUUAAGAGGUGCUCUUGAUCUGUACAGUACGAAUAAAACGUCAGAUAUUCUUUGUCAACCGCACGCUCCUCAACGCCGUUGCACCUUCUCCCUAACCUUCCUCCAACGGUUUAUUACUUCCUUCUGUUUCUUUUUUUUUUUUUUUUUUUUCCUCGUAAAAUUAUUUUAUUAUGGUAAAAGGGCAAAAGUCCGAUACAAAGAAAAAUCCAAAGGCUCA
rnacentral:lncRNA from 1 species